AAGGCUGGUGAUAAUGUAAUUAACCAUGAUUUUGGUCUACGGAGACCAUAAUAAAGAAAUUAUAAAACUUAAGUAGGUUAUAUCAUAAUAUUUGUCAAAUUGAGCGGGUUAAUGGCGGAGGAUAUAAUUGAAAAUUCACAAAAUUCAGUAAGUAAUAAAUAUACGUAAAAUGAGGAGGUCAUACAUAAAAUUUACAUAAAGCAUGGGUAAAAUUUCAACUCAAGACAUUUUUAUUCUGAUUGUUUUUAAAUCUCGGGUGGCCAAGGGGGCUUAUACCUAGUUCUGUUCUGAAGGCUAGUGUAGUGUGUUUUGAAUUUUUCAUUUACUAAUGGUUUUCAUUUUAUUGAAUAUAUGAGAACCUCCUAGAUUAAUUUUGUGAUGAUGCAGUCAAAUAUUUAGUUCUUAAUUGUUUAUCUAAAUCUAUUUUUAAAUGUUUGAAACAAACCCUGAUUAAUACAUAAGAGUGGACUUAAACCACUAUCCACGCACAUGGAAAGGGAAGUGGUAUACCGUCCGAUCAGACAAUUGGAGAAUUGAUUUUGAUGAAUUAGCAACCCUUAUCUAACACCAAACAGCUGAUAAAACUUGUUCCACUAAUGUCUAGUCAAUGCUUGCAUCUUGUUUUUUUUUUUUUUUUUUUUCCUGAACAAGUUUAAGAUCCAUGAACAGUUGCUUUUGAUAUUUCAAAUGGCAAUUCCAAACGAGACCUAAUUGAGAGAGUUAUUAUUUCACAGAAGCAUACCUUCAAUUCACUAAUUCUGAACAUUUUUCUUUUUGGCAAUGUUAUUCAUACGGGAAACAAUAGUAUAAGAUCAAAGAGCUAGGUGUCCUUAGGGCCUUUCCUUUGGAUGAAAAACGAUAUUUGCAACACUCAAAACAAUUGUUAUUGAACUCAUGCAAUCGAUAUUUUAAGAGCAUAUAUGCAGAUUAAUUAUAGAUUAACAAUUAAAUUCAGAGGAAAGCAGCUGCCUGCAGCGAUCAAACAGAAGGCUCAAAGUAGCUUGAGGAAACGGUGAUUGAACCAAGGGCAAGACAUCAUUUCCAAUGAUUCACAAACGCAAUCCUUUUGAUUUAAUUGAUUAAAAAUGUUAAUAAGAUGGCAGCAAAGAUCAAAUUCCGGGAAAUCGCCCAUCAUCAACACCCCUUGUGUCUCAACACCCACCUCCAACACAUCCAAUCUGUUUGAACAAUCUUGGGUUGCUGAGGUUAUUAUGAGCGAUUAAUGUUUUCUUUUAAUUAAUAACCACCAAAGAGGUGGGGGGUUAGGCAUGACCCCUACCUGUAAUAUAAAUCAAUAUAAAUGUAAUUACAUAAGGAGGAUAAUAUAACUCAAAACCUCCUAAAGCAAAUGCAGAUAUAUAAAAAUAAAAGAAAAGAAUACACCAUCAAUUGAAACAAUAAACCAACAAUCCUAUCGUCUGACAUGAGGAAAAGUUUGCACAUCUAAAUGAAGAAUGCUAGAUAACCUCGUAGGUAGAUCCUAAACACACAAGAAAUGCCGGCUAAGCCGGUGAGAGCAAGCCCAAUUGGCUAGAAAAUCAGUAGCAGAUGUAGCUUCCGAAGACAUGUUUAAUUAAAAUGUGAGAGGAAGAUAUCAAAUCACACACCCAACAUAACAAGUAAACAUAAUCCCACCGGACAGGGCCCUGGGAGUGAAUCCAAGAAACCACUGUGGCUGAAUCCAAUUCUACCUUAAGUGCAGAGUACCCAAGUUAAGUAGUGAGCUCCAACCCCUCGCAAACAGCCAUAAGCUCAGUAUAAAAAAUCAGUUGGCAACCAAGAAAAUAUCCAAAAGCAGCCAAUACAUCUACUUGAUGAUCAUGAAGAAUACCACAUGCUUCAGUUAUCCCGACAUUGCCCUUAGAGCAACCAUCCACUAUUAAUUUUGCAACCCCAGGAGGUGCUCGUAUUUAAGAAACUGAACGAAUCGGUCUCUUAGGGAACAUUAUGACACACAAACCCUCCAUAAUCCAAGAACCCAAAACUCCUUGUAGUUGAGAAUGCUUAAAUCCAAAUGCGGAGCUAGCAAGCCUGAGGUCCAAUCCAACCUAGUGGAUAAUUGCAUCCACAGAGAAGGUCUACGAAUCAAACCUGAAAGCAUUGCGAACCUUCCAAACUUGCCACAAAAUAAAGUAAGGAAGAAAGACGAAUAUGAUUCUGAGUUGGUGCACAUCGUCUCAAAUAACAAAGCAAAGCAUGCGGGGUUAAAGAAACCACAUCUCGCAUACUUAAAUUUUGCCAAAAAUGAACCUAUAUCAGCUUAACCCAUGGCCAAUCAAGGAACAGAUGUCGAGAAGUCUCAAUAAUCCUACAACAAAUACACCGGGAUACCAUGCAAAAUCCUCUUAAACAUAAGGCAUCAUCAAUAGCCAAAAAACCAUGCAACAGUCGCCAUAGAAAAAAAGAAACCCUAGAAGGGAUAUAUUGCUACUAGAUAAGCGAAAAAAAAACCUUAUCUCUCUGCCUAGAACAACGCACAAGCUCCCAAGCUAUCCGCAAAUGAAAGAGGCCAUCAUGGCCGAAAACCCAUCAAAUUAUAUAAGGUUCUUUACUAGAGAUAGGAACCAAUAGAAUUUAUGCAAUGAUUGAAUAGGGUAAUACAUCUUGGAGCUUACCCUAAUCCCAAGUUGUACCCCGCCAAUAUAAAGAAAUUGGCACCCCAAAAGCCGUUGCAGGAUUAUAGGAGGCCAAGGGGCAAGAGUCCAACCAACAAUCAUACCAAAAACUACACUCCCCAUAAUCGACCAACCAGCGCACAUGAGGUUUAGCAACCCACCAAACCGAACAUAGUCGUCUCCAAAAAGAAGAGGCAGAAUGACGAACUUGAACCUAACUCAGAUGUAUAGCUCUACAAUACUUGGACCUAGGGAUGGCAAACAGUGGGCCUGGGCUGGGCUUUUUCAAGCCCAGGUCCAGGCCCACUGUCAGUUAAGCGUGCGG
rnacentral:lncRNA from 1 species